rnacentral:rRNA from 1 species
UACGAAGGGGGCAAGCGUUGUUCGGAAUUACUGGGCGUAAAGGGCGCGUAGGCGGUGCGCUAAGUCAGAUGUGAAAGCCCUGGGCUCAACCCGGGAAUUGCAUUUGAUACUGGCGCGCUUGAAUCCAGGAGAGGUUGGUGGAAUUCCCAGUGUAGAGGUGAAAUUCGUAGAGAUUGGGAAGAACACCGGUGGCGAAGGCGGCCAACUGGACUGGUAUUGACGCUGAGGCGCGAAAGCGUGGGGAGCAAACAGG